AUUGAACGCUGGCGGCAGGCCUAACACAUGCAAGUCGAGCGGAGCGGCGGACGGGUGCGUGAUGCCUAGGAAUCUGCCUGGUCGUGGGGGAUAACGUCCGGAAACGGACGCUAAUACCGCAUACUAGCAGUUGAGGCUAAGUCGGAUUAGCUAGUUGGUGGGGUAAAGGCCUACCAAGGCCACGAUCCGUAACUGGUCUGAGAGGAUGAGCAGUCACACUGGAACUGAGACACGGUCCAGACUCCUACGGGAGGCAGCAGUGGGGAAUAUUGGACAAUGGGCGAAAGCCUGAUCCAGCCAUGCCGCGUGUAUGAAGAAGGCCUUCGGGUUGUAAAGUACUUUCAGCGGGGAGGCGUUACCCGCAGAAGAAGCACCGGCUAACUCCGUGCCAGCAGCCGCGGUAAUAC
rnacentral:rRNA from 1 species